UUAAGCGACUAAGCGUACACGGUGGAUGCCCUGGCAGUCAGAGGCGAUGAAGGACGUGCUAAUCUGCGAUAAGCGUCGGUAAGGUGAUAUGAACCGUUAUAACCGGCGAUUUCCGAAUGGGGAAACCCAGUGUGUUUCGACACACUAUCAUUAACUGAAUCCAUAGGUUAAUGAGGCGAACCGGGGGAACUGAAACAUCUAAGUACCCCGAGGAAAAGAAAUCAACCGAGAUUCCCCCAGUAGCGGCGAGCGAACGGGGAGCAGCCCAGAGCCUGAAUCAGUGUGUGUGUUAGUGGAAGCGUCUGGAAAGGCGCGCGAUACAGGGUGACAGCCCCGUACACAAAAAUGCACAUGCUGUGAGCUCGAUGAGUAGGGCGGGACACGUGGUAUCCUGUCUGAAUAUGGGGGGACCAUCCUCCAAGGCUAAAUACUCCUGACUGACCGAUAGUGAACCAGUACCGUGAGGGAAAGGCGAAAAGAACCCCGGCGAGGGGAGUGAAAAAGAACCUGAAACCGUGUACGUACAAGCAGUGGGAGCACGCUUAGGCGUGUGACUGCGUACCUUUUGUAUAAUGGGUCAGCGACUUAUAUUCUGUAGCAAGGUUAACCGAAUAGGGGAGCCGAAGGGAAACCGAGUCUUAACUGGGCGUUAAGUUGCAGGGUAUAGACCCGAAACCCGGUGAUCUAGCCAUGGGCAGGUUGAAGGUUGGGUAACACUAACUGGAGGACCGAACCGACUAAUGUUGAAAAAUUAGCGGAUGACUUGUGGCUGGGGGUGAAAGGCCAAUCAAACCGGGAGAUAGCUGGUUCUCCCCGAAAGCUAUUUAGGUAGCGCCUCGUGAAUUCAUCUCCGGGGGUAGAGCACUGUUUCGGCAAGGGGGUCAUCCCGACUUACCAACCCGAUGCAAACUGCGAAUACCGGAGAAUGUUAUCACGGGAGACACACGGCGGGUGCUAACGUCCGUCGUGAAGAGGGAAACAACCCAGACCGCCAGCUAAGGUCCCAAAGUCAUGGUUAAGUGGGAAACGAUGUGGGAAGGCCCAGACAGCCAGGAUGUUGGCUUAGAAGCAGCCAUCAUUUAAAGAAAGCGUAAUAGCUCACUGGUCGAGUCGGCCUGCGCGGAAGAUGUAACGGGGCUAAACCAUGCACCGAAGCUGCGGCAGCGACNGAAGGUGUGCUGUGAGGCAUGCUGGAGGUAUCAGAAGUGCGAAUGCUGACAUAAGUAACGAUAAAGCGGGUGAAAAGCCCGCUCGCCGGAAGACCAAGGGUUCCUGUCCAACGUUAAUCGGGGCAGGGUGAGUCGACCCCUAAGGCGAGGCCGAAAGGCGUAGUCGAUGGGAAACAGGUUAAUAUUCCUGUACUUGGUGUUACUGCGAAGGGGGGACGGAGAAGGCUAUGUUGGCCGGGCGACGGUUGUCCCGGUUUAAGCGUGUAGGCUGGUUUUCCAGGCAAAUCCGGAAAAUCAAGGCUGAGGCGUGAUGACGAGGCACUACGGUGCUGAAGCAACAAAUGCCCUGCUUCCAGGAAAAGCCUCUAAGCAUCAGGUAACAUCAAAUCGUACCCCAAACCGACACAGGUGGUCAGGUAGAGAAUACCAAGGCGCUUGAGAGAACUCGGGUGAAGGAACUAGGCAAAAUGGUGCCGUAACUUCGGGAGAAGGCACGCUGAUAUGUAGGUGANGUCCCUCGCGGAUGGAGCUGAAAUCAGUCGAAGAUACCAGCUGGCUGCAACUGUUUAUUAAAAACACAGCACUGUGCAAACACGAAAGUGGACGUAUACGGUGUGACGCCUGCCCGGUGCCGGAAGGUUAAUUGAUGGGGUUAGCGCAAGCGAAGCUCUUGAUCGAAGCCCCGGUAAACGGCGGCCGUAACUAUAACGGUCCUAAGGUAGCGAAAUUCCUUGUCGGGUAAGUUCCGACCUGCACGAAUGGCGUAAUGAUGGCCAGGCUGUCUCCACCCGAGACUCAGUGAAAUUGAACUCGCUGUGAAGAUGCAGUGUACCCGCGGCAAGACGGAAAGACCCCGUGAACCUUUACUAUAGCUUGACACUGAACAUUGAGCCUUGAUGUGUAGGAUAGGUGGGAGGCUU
rnacentral:rRNA from 1 species